GACGAACGCUGGCGGCGUGCUUAACACAUGCAAGUCGAGCGGUAAGGCUCCUUCGGGAGUACACGAGCGGCGAACGGGUGAGUAACACGUGAGUAACCUGCCCCAUUCAUCGGAAUAACCAGUGGAAACGCUGGCUAAUGCCGAAUACGACCACCGAAGGCAUCUUCUGGUGGUGGAAAGCUCCGGCGGUGGGGGAUGGACUCGCGGCCUAUCAGCUUGUUGGUGAGGUAGUGGCUCACCAAGGCGUCGACGGGUAGCCGGCCUGAGAGGGUGGCCGGCCACAGUGGGACUGAGGUAGGGCCCCGACUCCUACGGGAGGCAGCAGUGGGGAAUAUUGCACAAUGGGCGGAAGCCUGAUGCAGCAACGCCGCGUGCGGGAUGCCGGCCUUCGGGUUGUAAACCGCUUUCGCCUGGGACGAAGCGUGAGUGACGGUAAUGGGUAAAGAAGCACCGGCUAACUACGUG
rnacentral:rRNA from 1 species